UACGUAGGGGGCAAGCGUUGUCCGGAAUCAUUGGGCGUAAAGAGCGUGUAGGCGGCCAGAAAAGUCCGCUGUGAAAACUCGAGGCUCAACUUCGAGCUGUCGGUGGAAACUUUCUGGCUAGAGUCCGGAAGAGGAGAAUGGAAUUCCUGGUGUAGCGGUGAAAUGCGCAGAUAUCAGGAAGAACACCCGUGGCGAAGGCGGUUCUCUGGGCCACUACUGACGCUGAGAAGCGAAAGCAUGGGGAGCGAACAGG
rnacentral:rRNA from 1 species